rnacentral:rRNA from 1 species
GCUGGCGGCGUGCCUAACACAUGCAAGUCGAACGAGAAAGCAUCCUUCGGGAAGUGAGUAGAGUGGCGAACGGGUGAGUAACGCGUGGGUAACCUGCCCUUGGGCGUGGGAUAACACGAGGAAACUGGUGCUAAUACCGCAUAAGUCUGGUCGACGAGAGUUGGCCAGGGAAAGCCCUUCGGGGCGACCGAGGAGGGGCCCGCGUCCGAUUAGCUAGUUGGUGGAGUAAAGGUUCACCAAGGCGACAAUCGGUAGCCGGUCUGAGAGGACGGACGGCCACACUGGGACUGAGACACGGCCCANACUCCUACGGGAGGCAGCAGUGGGGAAUUUUGCGCAAUGGGGGAAACCCUGACGCAGCAACGCCGCGUGAAGGAAGAAGGCUUUCGAGUCGUAAACUUCUGUUUCGGGGGACGAAUUAUUGACGGUACCCCGGCAGCAAGCCCCGGCUAACUCCGUGCCAGCAGCCGCGGUAAU